UGUGCAUUACAAAAUAAAGCUUCAUAUAGAACUGAAAACUCUGAUUAUUUGGUAUAGAAAAUUACUUCGGUAGCAUACUUUUUGUGCGAAUUCGAUUACGUUUAUUCUGUUCCGUUCAUUCCAAUUUUGUUAUAGAGUGUGGUAGGUCGACUAAAGAAGUUCGGAGGCUAGAAAUUUGUGAAGUUAACAAAAAUUAUAUGUGAAGAAUUCAAAACAAGUUGAAUAAAUCUUUAACAACUAAUAUAUAUGAAUCAGUAAAGUAGUGAUGGCAAAAAGUACAAAAUAAUAAUUACAUAAGCGAAUAAUAAAGAAAAGCACAAAACAAACUGGAAAAAAUGAAAAGAUAAUUUUAAUUUGAAACAAAAUUAAAAGUUGGAAAAAAAACGAAGUCAUAAAAUAAAAUAAAACGGAUCAGCUGUCUAUCUCGCUUAGUGUUAUUUCAUCAUCUUUUUGAGUAGACACACAUGAGAAGUACGGUGUGUACCAUUGAAAAGCAACGGAAAAAUUAGAAAUUUGAAAAAGAAAAAUAUAUAUAAGAAUAGCAACAAUUUAUACCAGAGGAAGAUGUACAGCGCGUCUACGAGUGGAAUAAACAUUAAAAAUUCUAACGAAUUUUUAGAACACAAAAACAAAGAAUCUAGUUGCAAUUCCGAAAAUUUAGCCAAAGAAAUUUGUACUAAAAUUAAGGGAUUUCUUUGAUUACAAUUUUAAAUAGCAUCACCACCAUAUAUAAUAUAUUUUUGCUUCUAAGACCAAAGAAUUUAAUUUAGUAGCAGUUAUAGUUUUUGGUAUGUCAAUCAACAAACAAAAAUAUCAACAAAAAUUACGCGCACAAAUGUACGAAGUAAAUUUUUGAUCAUAAAAUUGUUAAUAACAAUAAUACAAAAUAAAUUACCAGGAUAAUUAGCAAAAACAUUAUCCGGAAAUAAGGAAAUACACACUAUAAAGUGAUAUCUCGUCUACUCAAAAAUAAAAUUCACACACAGCACUUAUUAAGCUUAAAAGAGCUAAGGAGCAAGCAUUUCCGCUAUUUAUUUUUAUACGUAUUUUGAAAAUUAUUUUAUAUAAGAAGUUACAAAUUAAAAAAUUCAAAAAUGCCUUCAAUCAAUUCAAAAACAAUAACACCGAAAGGUCUAGGCAAAUAUAAUGUCUUCUCACAUGUCAAAUAUGAGCAUUUAGUAGCAGGCAUAUCUGGAGGUGU